AGAGUUUGAUCAUGGNUCAGGAUGAACGCUAGCGGCAGGNCUAAUACAUGCAAGUCGAGGGGUAACAUGACGCUUCGGUGUUGAUGACGACCGGCGCACGGGUGCGUAACGCGUAUGCAAUCUACCUACAGCAGAGGGAUAGCCCGUGGAAACAUGGAUUAAUACCUCAUAAUACAGGGGGCCCACCUGGGCAUAUUGUUAAAGAUUUAUCGGCUGUAGAUGAGCAUGCGUCCCAUUAGCUAGUUGGUACGGUAACGGCGUACCAAGGCGAUGAUGGGUAGGGGUUCUGAGAGGAUGAUCCCCCACACUGGUACUGAGAUACGGACCAGACUCCUACGGGAGGCAGCAGUAGGGAAUAUUGGUCAAAGGACGCAAGUCUGAACCAGCCAUGCCGCGUGCAGGAAGACGGCCUUCUGGGUUGUAAACUGCUUUUCUCAGGGAAGAAAAAGGUUUUGCGAGACAAAUUGCCGGUACCUGAGGAAUAAGCACCGGCUAACUCCGUGCCAGCAGCCGCGGUAAUACGGAGGGUGCGAGCGUUGUCCGGAUUUAUUGGGUUUAAAGGGUGCGUAGGCGGCCUAUUAAGUCAGUGGUGAAAGGUAUCAGCUUAACUGAUGACGUGCCAUUGAAACUGAUAGGCUUGAGUACAGACGAGGUAGGCGGAAUUUAUGGUGUAGCGGUGAAAUGCAUAGAUACCAUAAAGAACACCGAUAGCGAAGGCAGCUUACUAGGCUGAGACUGACGCUGAGGCACGAAAGCGUGGGGAGCGAACAGGAUUAGAUACCCUGGUAGUCCACGCUGUAAACGAUGAUUACUGGAUGUGUGCGAUAGACAGUACGCGUCUGAGCGAAAGCGUUAAGUAAUCCACCUGGGGAGUACGAUCGCAAGAUUGAAACUCAAAGGAAUUGACGG
rnacentral:rRNA from 1 species